AGGACGAACGCUGGCGGCGCGCUUAACACAUGCAAGUCGAGCGAGAACCUGGCCUUCGGGCCUGGGGAAAGCGGCGAACGGGUGAGUAACACGUGGGUAACCCACCCUUGGUACCGGGAUAGCCCGAGGAAACUCGGAUUAAAUACCGGAUGGCCCAACAGCUCUUCGGGGCGGUUGGAAAAGGUAGCUUCGGCCUCCGACCAAGGACGGGCCCGCGGCGGAUUAGCUUGUUGGUGAGGUAACGGCCCACCAAGGCGACGACGGGUA
rnacentral:rRNA from 1 species